rnacentral:lncRNA from 1 species
AUUGAAUUCUGCUACACUUUAAACAAAGGAUACAAAUUGCUAAGGAAAGGACAGUCUCAGCCAGCAAUAUCAAUUCUCAGAACCAGAAGAGAAACAAUGAGAUUCUUUCUCUUUAGCCACGGCACCAAACUCUGAACCGGCUGAGCCUGGUUAGCCCUUGAUUCAUUGUAUAAGUUGACCCCCCUAAAACAAGAAAAACGAUGAAGAUGAACAACCUGAACUGGACUCCUGCCAAGUCCACAAACCGAUUUUGCAAGACCUGACACUUUUGAAGAGUAUUGGACAGCUAUUUUGAAGAAUGUCCUGCAAUUCUGCCUAAUGUGUUUCAAUGAAUAAAUGUUACACGUGCAUUGUUGGCCAAGAGUAAAAAAA